GUGAGUGGCAUCAGGAUGUCUGAGAGGAGAGCAUGGUGUUUUUGCUUCAUUGGAUCCAUGCAGGUCUUGGAGGGUGGUGGCCCACUCUUUCUGGGCCAAGUAGAGGGUGGCUCAGACACCCCCCCUUCCUCCAGGCUUCUCAUCUGUAACUGGUGAAGCCCGGAAGAGCUUGUUGUUCAAGAGGAAAUCUUGUGUUACUUCUUUAUGAAGGACUCCAGCCUGGUGGAGAUGAAUGAGUCCUGAAGAUGGAAUCGAAGCUGUUUGGGCACAAACAAGGUUUCACUCUUGUUGCCCAGGCUGGAGUGCAAUGGUGUGAUCUAGGCUCACUGCAACCUCCACCUCCCGGGUUCAAGUGAUUCUCCUGUCUCAGGCUCCCAAGUAGGUGGGAUUACAGUACUUUAAUCAGCAUUUAAUGACCCAGUCGAAAAUUCAUUGUUUGGACCCAAGCACUGGUGGGAAAGGCAGGAGGGGAGGCCUGCCUUCCUUCCUCCCUCCCGAGCCCUACAGCAGGCCAUGGAGUGGUGAGCGAGUUCGUACAGUGCCAACCACAUUCCCAGAAACUUCCAGCAGAGGUUAAUCCUGCUCCUCUCAGGUGGGCUUGGCCCAUUCUCUAGACUUUGGAAGGUAAUGUUCUAUAGAGGCCUGUUCUGAAGCUUUACCAGGUCAAACCGGAGAAGAACCCAACAAGUAACUCAUCCCAGCCUAACUAUUCUUCAAGGGCAAUCAACCUACAGCAUCCAAGCACAGAGAAAUCAAAUCCAUGGAGAAUCUUCAAA
rnacentral:lncRNA from 10 species